GACGAACGUUGGCGGCGUGCUUAACACAUGCAAGUCGAGCGGAAAGGCUCCUUCGGGGGUACUCGAGCGGCGAACGGGUGAGUAACACGUGAGUAAUCUGCCCUGUGCUCUGGGAUAGCCACCGGAAACGGUGAUUAAUACCGGAUAUGACCACUCCGCGCAUGUGGUGGUGGUGGAAAGUUUUUCGGCGCAGGAUGUGCUCGCGGCCUAUCAGCUUGUUGGGGAGGUAAUGGCUCACCAAGGCUUCGACGGGUAGCCGGCCUGAGAGGGUGAGCGGUCACACUGGGACUGAGACACGGCCCAGACUCCUACGGGGGGCAGCAGUGGGGAAUAUUGGACAAUGGGCGGAAGCCUGAUCCAGCAACGCCGCGUGAGGGAUGACGGCCUUCGGGUUGUAAACCUCUUUCAGUACCGACGAAGCGUGAGUGACGGUAGGUACAGAAGAAGGACCGGCCAACUACGUGCCAGCAGCCGCCGUAAAAC
rnacentral:rRNA from 1 species